CCCUUCAGUACUUCCCACAUAUGACUACCAACUGUUAGACGAUGUGCUGCCAGACCAGCCUUUCAUUUCUUGGACAUCCGGCUAUUUACCCAGGAAAAUACCCUUUGACUAUUUUUCAUGACCUUUCUCAUCUGACUCGUGAUCUGCCCAUCUUGUUACUCCCUAGCAGUGUGGUAAGAGGUCAACCAGAAUCAAGAUGUCUGGGACUGAGGAAGCAAUUCUUGGAGGACGUGACAGCCAUCCUGCUGCUGGCGGCGGCUCGGUGUUAUGCUUUGGACAGUGCCAGUACACAGCAGAAGAGUACCAGGCCAUCCAGAAGGCCCUGAGGCAGAGGCUGGGCCCAGAAUACAUAAGUAGCCGCAUGGCUGGCGGAGGCCAGAAGGUGUGCUACAUUGAGGGUCAUCGGGUAAUUAAUCUGGCCAAUGAGAUGUUUGGUUACAAUGGCUGGGCACACUCCAUCACGCAGCAGAAUGUGGAUUUUGUUGACCUCAACAAUGGCAAGUUCUACGUGGGAGUCUGUGCAUUUGUGAGGGUCCAGCUGAAGGAUGGUUCAUAUCAUGAAGAUGUUGGUUAUGGUGUUAGUGAGGGCCUCAAGUCCAAGGCUUUAUCUUUGGAGAAGGCAAGGAAGGAGGCGGUGACAGACGGGCUGAAGCGAGCCCUCAGGCUUCCCUUGCUGGGAGUAAGUGGUAGAAUCCUGUACUCUCUCUUCUCCGUGCACUCAGUCAUGUGUGCCGGAGGCCUUCCCACUCCUACUGCGAGUGCACAGACAGCACCCUCCUCUCCGUGCUCCUCAGCAGUCCUCCGCUACGCACAGGAGUUUUGGGAAUGCACUUGGAAACUGUAUUCUGGACAAAGACUACCUGAGAUCACUAAAUAAGCUUCCAUGCCAGUUGCCUCUUGAAGUGGAUUUAACUAAAGCGAAGAGACAAGAUUUUGAACCGUCUGUGGAAGAGGCAAGAUACAACAGCUGCCGACCGAACAUGGCCCUGGGACACCCACAACUACAAGAGGCGACCUCCCCUUCCAGACCAAGCCAUGCUGUGAUACAGGCGGACAAGGACUGCAGCUCCCGAAGCCUGACCUCAUCCGCCGUGGAGAGCGAGGCCACGCACCAGCGGAAGCUCCGGCAGAAGCAGCUGCAGCAGCAGUUCCGGGAGCGGAUGGAGAAGCAGCACGUUCGAGUCUCCACGCCGUCAGCUGAGAAGAGUGAGGCGCCUCCGGCCCCUCCUCUGACGCACAGCACUCCUGUAACCGUCUCAGAACCACUCCCGGAGAAAGACUUCCUUGCAGGAGUGACUCAAGAAUUAAUCAGUAAAUACCUUGAAAUGCUUAGACUCUUGAAGACAACUCUGAAAAGUGGGCUGUGGCUCCCGAUGCAGGGGAUGGUGUGGUCAGGCCCUCGUCUAUAGCAGACCCAGCCCAGGCCUCUGACACACUAGCCUUGAACAACCAGAUGGUGACCCAGAACAGGACUCCACACAGCCUUUGCCACCAGAAACCACAAGCAAAAUCUGGAUCUUGGGACCUCCAAACUUAUAGCGCCGACCAACGCACAACAGGAAACUGGGAAUCUCAUAGGAAGAGCCAGGACAUGAAGAAAAGGAAAUAUGAUCCAUCUUAACUGAGGCUCAGGCCACAUGAUUGGACUCUGUCACAAAGGGACUUUGGAAAACUACUUUUUGGUCAUGAAAUUGUUCAUCGCUCCUGGAGAAUGAACGUCAUUGCGAUUUAUCUUGCUUCAUUCUGAACCUUAUCAAGAGGAUCUGACUGAGAGCCCACUGCAGUUAGAGCUGAGCACUUUUGAAAAGCUUGUCCAUCACUCUAGUAGGGAGAGGCUCUGGACAGAUGAAUACCUUUUCUUCGGCUUGUGAGGCUUCCCACUAUUUAUUACUGAACUAUUAUGUUAAUAAAGAUGGACAUUUUAGGAAUCACCAAUGGCUCCUUGCCCUCGAGCAAUAUAGGCCAGACUUGGUCCUAAGCACCUGCCUCAGCAAUUGUCUACGUUCGGCUAUUUUGCAUAACGUCUGCCUUCUUUCCUUUACGGUCCAUGCCUUUAAUGUUGUCCACAUUAAGCACUGUGGAUCACGACAGGAAAAAGGUUGGAGCAGUGCUUUUCACUACUUUGUAUCAAUCCAGGCUACAAUCUUCAUUUAAUAUAAAUAAUUUAUGGAUUUAUGACAUUACAAUCCUGCAUUGUUUCAAGAUGGACAUUUUUUCCUAAGGAAGGAAAUAAUCAAGACCACGAAAAAAGCUGUUUUUUUUUUUUUUUUUUGAGACGGGGUCUGGCUGUGUUGCCCUGACUGGAGUUCAGUGGUGCAAACACAGCUCUCUCCACAACCUCCUGGGCUCAAGUGAUACUCCCACCUCUGCCUUACAAAAUACAGGGAUUACUGGUGUGAGCCACUGUGUCUGUCUGGCCAGAAAAGGCAUUUUUGAGAAAGCAAAUCGUAUACCUUAUUAACAAAAUAGAAUAUAUAUAGAUUGCUUAUCUGCUUAUCUGAAAUGCUUGAAACCAGAAUUGUUUUGCAUUUUUUGAAUAUUUAUAUACACAUAAUGAGACCUUGGGGAUGGGACCCAAGUCUGAACGUGGAAUUCACCUGUGUUUCGUGUAUAUGCCUCAUACACAUAAUUUUGUGCAUGAAACAAAGUUUUUGUAUAAGAAGAUACACUGCAGCUGAAGGGGGCUGGGCCUUUUUUUCUCUUAGGGUCGCUGCAUAAACUGUUGUAUGCCUGGUGCUUUGCGACUUGUCACACGAGGUCACGUGUGGAAUUUUCCACUUCUGGCAUCACAUCAGUGCUCAGAAAUUUUCUGAUCUCAGAGCAUUUCUUCAAUUAGGGAUGCUCAAACGCAACUGUUUCUACUUCCCCAUUUCAGGUGUGAGAUGUAACCCACCUUGACCAUAAAUUGGCUUUUCAUAGUGCUCAGAUGUUUCACAAUUCUUCCCCCAAAAUAAUGAAGUUUGCAGUUUAACUUUUUUUUUGAGAGGGGGGUCUGGCUCUGUAGCGCAGGCUGGAGUGCAGCGGUGCCAUCUUGACUCAUUGCAGCCUCCGCCUGCCAGGAUUCAAGCGAUUCUCCUGCCUCAGGCUCCCGAGUAGCUGGGAUUACAGACACCCACCACGACGCCCGACUAAUUUUUGUAUUUUUAGUAGAGGAGACGGGGUUUCUCCAUGUUGGCCAGGCUGGUCUCAAACUGACCUCAAGUGAUCUGCCCACCUCGGCCUCCCAAAGUAAAAAGUACUAGAAUUAUAGGCAUGAGCCAUUGCGCCCAGCCAAUUUAAUUUUUUUAGACGUAUUAUUUUGGGCUGGGCUGUGGCUAAUCUUGAAGCAGUGACUUCCUAUUUUUUGGCUCAGACCCAUUUGGGAAGCUGUGAACCUGAGAUAAGGAAGUCUGAAAGUACUAGCCGGCAGCCGACCGUUUCUGUUCCUUUGGAAGUUAAGGAGGCAGCAAAGGAGCUCCCAGGAAUUAGGAAUCCAGUUAUAAAUUGCACUUAACUCAAAAUAGUGCCAAUGAGAAUGUGAAGGAAUCUUCUGGAAAUGAAACCCCACAGCUCAACAAAAGCAAGUUUGGUUUAUUUGAAUGGUUUCAUUAAAUAAGUCUACAAAGGUAACAAACUGAAGCACAAAGCGCAAUCUUACAAGAAGCGCAACACCGAGUUAGUGCAAAAUGUACAAUUAACGGCUGCUGAGAAACCCCCAAAGUAAGUUUGAAUUUUUAUUUUUAUUUUUAACAGUGUACAUUGUUAAAUAAUGUAAGGAAAACAUUUAUAAUUCAGAAAGUUUUUAAUGUGGAAAAAGAUACUCAAAGUGUACUAUUAACACAAAAAUAAUUUAAACAAACAGUUCAGUAGCACUAGUUCAUUCCUCUAGGCUUGUUAUUUCAUACACAGGAGGAUGAAAUCAACAGUAAAUAACACCAGUUCUGACUUUUUUUGUGUAUGAGUGAAAAGAUGUCAAAAUUAUUAUUAAACCCAAAUAACAGAUGAUAA